UGGGGAAUAUUGCACAAUGGGCGAAAGCCUGAUGCAGCGACGCCGCGUGAGGGAUGACGGCCUUCGGGUUGUAAACCUCUUUCAGCAGGGAAGAAGCGAAAGUGACGGUACCUGCAGAAGAAGCGCCGGCUAACUACGUGCCAGCAGCCGCGGUAAUACGUAGGGCGCAAGCGUUGUCCGGAAUUAUUGGGCGUAAAGAGCUCGUAGGCGGUUAGUCGCGUCUGCUGUGAAAACUCGAGGCUCAACCUCGGGCUUGCAGUGGGUACGGGCUGACUAGAGUGCGGUAGGGGUGACUGGAAUUCCUGGUGUAGCGGUGGAAUGCGCAGAUAUCAGGAGGAACACCGAUGGCGAAGGCAGGUCACUGGGCCGCAACUGACGCUGAGGAGCGAAAGCAUGGGGAGCGAACAGGAUUAGAUACCCUGGUAGUCCAUGCCGUAAAACGUUGGGCACUAGGUGUGGGGUCCAUUUCCACGGAUUCCGUGCCGCAGCAAACGCAUUAAGUGCCCCGCCUGGGGAGUACGGCCGCAAGGCUAAAACUCAAAUGAAUUGACGGGGUCAUAGCUGUUUCCU
rnacentral:rRNA from 1 species